CACGGGGGGGAGCAAGCGUUGUUCGGAAUCACUGGGCGUAAAGGGCGCCUAGGCGGUCAGGUAAGUGGGAUGUGAAAUGCCCCGGCUCACCCGGGGACCGGCAUCCCAUACUGCUUGGCUUGAGUACGGGAGAGGAUGGUGGGAAUUCCUGGUGGUAGCGGUGAAAUGCGUAGAUAAUCAGGAGGAACACCGGUGGCGAAGGCGCACAUCUGAACCCGGAUACUGGACGCUGAAGCC
rnacentral:rRNA from 1 species